CAGUAGGGAAUCUUCCACAAUGGGCGCAAGCCUGAUGGAGCAACACCGCGUGAGUGAAGAAGGGUUUCGGCUCGUAAAGCUCUGUUGUUAAAGAAGAACACGUAUGAGAGUAACUGCUCAUACGUUGACGGUAUUUAACCAGAAAGUCACGGCUAACUACGUGCCAG
rnacentral:rRNA from 1 species